rnacentral:lncRNA from 1 species
GGAGCAACGAAAAGGGAAGUCCUGAAUUCUCCAACUUCUAUACUAUCUUUUCUAAUUUGAUAUUAAUAUUUAAUUAUAAUAUUUAAUUAUAUUAACAUUAAUAUAAUUAAUAUUUCCUGACUUUCAUACAAAGUUUCAUAAAUAUUACUUUCUUUGUAGAGAAAGAUACCUUGAAUAAGUUGUUUUUGCAGAAACAAUAAGAUUUAUAUUUAACAGCUUUAAGAGAUGCCUCACAGCUAUAUAGAAAUAAAUUUGUUUCCAUUAUCAAUUUCUAAAUAUAUUUAAAUUUUUCUGUUUUUGUCUAUUUCAAAUUUAUACAAAUUAUUAUGCUCUCACACAACUAUGGUCUCUUAGUUAAAAUUAAACUUAAUUGUCAAUAUUCUCCAUAUAAUUCUACUAUUGCUACAUAUAUUUAUAGCACCAUAUAUCAUCAUGCUCGUCAUAUCCUGAGCUCCUCAGACAAUGACCACAUCUACUCUGUCAAACACUGUAGUGGCCCAGGUAUAUAUAGAUUUACAAACCAGAGAAUUAAUAUUUAUGUGACUUUGAGCCAGUAACUGGCUGCAUUUGGAUGCUGAUGAAUCCACAGUUCUUCAUGAAAACCAACUCAUUUCCUCAGGUGAAUAUCAUAGAAUCCAGAACGUCAGAGAUCCCUGCAGGUUUUUCAGCCAUCAGAGAAAUGUGUGGGUCAGGUUAGAAAAGAGUCUGCUCAGCCCAAUUUAGGUAACUAGUACUGGGCCAAACUUCAAGAGUCUGUAACCGAUUGUCUUAUUAAAGCAGAGCAUAAUUUGGGGGAAAAGUUUUCUGAUAACAACUCAGUCCCAAGUGCACAAAAAAUUUAAGAAACAUUUAUACUGAAAUUCUUUAUGAGCUACAUCUGGCUCCUGUCACAAAGAAGAGUACUGUAAUCCCAGAGCUAGUUCCCCAAAUUUAAGGUAUAUGGAGAAUUACUGAGAUAAUGUCUGUGGCUGUCAGGAUUGUCCUGGCCCUAAGGUAACACAGAAUCACUUAGGCUGUUGCAAAGUACAAGUGACAUAACCAUAACUCAGGAGGAUGGGUUUUGUGGCCUUGAAGCAACACACAAUAUUUUGGGCAAAAAGAAUCUGUCAUAAAUAAAAUAUUCAGAGGUACCCAGGCAGUGGCUAGCUCAACUGAUAGCAAAGGAUUACCAGUUUCUAAGCUACAUCAGUUCCCAGCAGUCCAGAAAGAACAGGUAAGCUUGCCAAUCUUUUGAAGAGAAAAGAUACAUGUUCACCUUUUGGUCUGUGUACACAAGGACUUCUUGCUCUCUGUAGGAAUGUAUUUAAUCUCUAAAGUUUUAACAGUUAUAUUUUAGACACCCCUCUUUGUAUGUUAUAGUAUAGUCUGUAAUUCAAACUAGAAAUCACACACAAAAAACGAGUUCACAUUUGAAAUUACUAGAAAUUGAAAUAAAUUGACUACAGUUGUAGAAUUCUAGCAUGUAAUCCUCCAGGAAAGGCAAAGUGAUAUUGUGGGGAAAAGCAGUAACAAACAAAAAACAAAGCAAAACAAACAAACAACGAAAAGCAAACAAGCCCCCCAAUUAUUUUUAAAGUAAAUGUUGAAAAAUACAUCAGAUAUAAAGCACCACAUAAGACAGUUAAACAAGUUUGUUUCUUACCUUAUGUGCUUGCAGUAGCUGUUUAUCUAAAAGAAACAAACUUGCAGAUUUGUCUUCAAGACUUUGAGCCAAAAUGCAGAGCCCAUCUGGUGUUUGAGAGAGCAGCAGCUCUCAGCUGAGUGUCAUUUCUGCAGCUCACACUGUUAGCAGGAAGUCAGUCUUUCCAUGCUGACUAGUUAUUAAAAAGCAUAUUUCAAUAAUUUGUUCUGAUGAUUGCUGUGAUAAAGAAGUCUGAUAGACUGCACUGUGUCUUGUAAGGUCCAUGUGUCAGUUAAGUAACUUCCUUAUUCCACUACCCUUCCAGAUCUUCUCAAGCUCAGUUGAGCACACCUGACUUUAUUUUGAGGGAAAGACAGGAGAGUUGGUUUUAGAUAGAGUCACACACAUCCAGGUUGGUCUUGAAAUCUGUUAGUGCCUCUACCUGUUGAGUGUUGUGAUUACAGGUGUGAUCCACCAUGCCCAGGUCCAUAACAUAUUUAUUGUACAUUAACAUUUUUGGAACUUAUGUUUCAUAAAUACUUGUUAAAAUGUAUUUGGUGUCUCCCAAUUAGUGAAUGUUUCUUUAUAUAUUGACUUAUUUUCUUCCAAAACAAGUAUUUAGGGUGUGAAAAGUUUCUAUCAGACAAUCAAUCAAUAAAAAUACAAUCUAUCACCAU